rnacentral:rRNA from 1 species
AAAACUAGCUAGUCCUAUAGGUAUGAAACCCAUUUGAGCGAGAGUAGUACCAGGAUGGGUGACCUCCUGGGAAGUCCUCGUGAAAGGCUUUC